rnacentral:rRNA from 1 species
AUUGAACGCUGGCGGCAUGCUUUACACAUGCAAGUCGGACGAGUGGCGAACGGGUGAGUAACGCAUCGGAACGUACCGAGUAAUGGGGGAUAACUGUCCGAAAGGACAGCUAAUACCGCAUAUUAUUCGAUCGGCCGAUGUCUGAUUAGCUGGUUGGGGGGGUAAAGGCCAACCAAGGCGACGUUCAGUAGCGGGUCUGAGAGGAUGAGCGCCAAAAGUGGGACUGAGACACGGCCCAGACCCCUACGGCGGGAAGAGUGGGGAAAUUUUGGACAGUGGGCGAAAGCCUGAUCCAGCCAUGCCGCGUGUCUAAAGAAGGCCUUCGGUUUGUAAAGGACUUUUGUCAGGGAAGCGGUACCUUAAGAAUAAGCACCGGCUAACUCCGUGCAAGCGGCCGCGGUAUAC